rnacentral:rRNA from 1 species
GGGCGAAAGCCUGACGCAGCAACGCCGCGUGAGUGAUGAAGGCUUUCGGGUCGUAAAGCUCUGUCAAAGGGAAAGAAGUGUAUUGUGGCUAAUAUCCACGAUACUUGACGGUACCCCUAAAG